rnacentral:rRNA from 1 species
CUUGGUCAUUUAGAGGAAGUAAAAGUCGUAACAAGGUUUCCGUAGGUGAACCUGCGGAAGGAUCAUUAUUGACUGUGAAUCGUUGCCUCCAGUGCUGGCUCCGGCAAGUGCACGUUGGUGACUUUCAUCCAACACCCUGUGAACCUUUGGCCUCUUGCUAGCUUCGGCUGGCAGAGGAUUUUUACACCCACUCGAAUGUAAUGAAAUUAUUGUCGUGCGCAAGCACUUAUGUACAACUUUCAACAACGGAUCUCUUGGCUCUCGCAUCGAUGAAGAACGCAGCGAAAUGCGAUAAGUAAUGUGAAUUGCAGAAUUCAGUGAAUCAUCGAAUCUUUGAACGCACCUUGCACCCUUUGGCAUUCCGAAGGGUAUGCUCGUUUGAGUGUCAUUGUACUCUCACACUUCUCAUCCUUUGGAUUUGGAGUGGUGGACUUGGGUGUUGCUACUUUCUGGUGGCUCACCUCUAAUGCAUUAGUGCAACUCUAGGUUGGACCAUAGUACGGCGUGAUAAGUGUCUUCGCCGGCACCUCGCGAGAGGGUGGCUGAUCGGGAGCUCUGUGCUUUCAAACCGUCCUUGCAAGGACAAUGACUGACAACUUGACCUCAAAUCGAGUAGGACUACCCGCUGAACUUAAGCAUAUCAAUAAGCGGAGGAAUC